rnacentral:rRNA from 1 species
UGCGUAGGCGGCGCGGUAAGUCGGGUGUGAAAUCUCGGAGCUUAACUCCGAAACUGCAUUCGAUACUGCCGUGCUUGAGGACUGGAAAGGAGACUGGAAUUUACGGUGUAGCGGUGAAGUGCGUAGAUAUCGUAAGGAAGACCAGUGGCGAAGGCGGGUCUCUGGACAGUUCCUGACGCUGAGGCACGAAGGCCAGGGGAGCAAACG